CAAAGAUUGGGCCUAAAUUCAGCCCCAUUCCUCAAAAAGUCUAUAAUUUUUUUUUUAUAUUUACUGGUUAAAAUUUACGAUGCAAUAUUUGCCAUAAAAAGUGUUUGAUAGGUUGCAACAAUGAGUUACUUGCCUUAUUAAGCCCUAUAAGUUGAAACUUAGUACAAUUAAAAUACAAAUCAAAAAUUCUAAAUUGUUAAGUAUUUGUGUUCAUGUAUAACUGAAUAUGAUUUAUAUUUAAAUUAGAAACCGGAUGUUUGCAAAGACAAAAUCACUAUACUGCUUUCAUAUCUUUAUGCACACUCUUUCAACGCCAGUGACUAAACUUUACAUCUAAGGUCUGUCUUACAAAAACAACGGCAUAAAAUGUAGACAUCAACUAGUAUCGAUUCAAUAUCACGUACAUAUAAUAGAUUUAACCAGAAUAGGCUAUAAUUACUAGUAUAAUGGCCCCUGGUAGCAAGACAGAGUAUCAUAUACUUAAUUCACCAUAGACUUUCAUCUGUUUUUGCAUUUCUGUCUAAUCCAUAGGCAAAACGUGUGUGAUCAAGUACUCAUAUACUUACAGUAUUGUGUCUUAUGACUUGUUGUAUUGUCUAACAUUUAAAGUUGUUUAGUCUCGCGUAAUAAGUUGUGCACAUUCAAAUGUGUACAGUCUCAUAUUUUAAGUUGUUUAGUGUCAUGUUAAAAGUUGAAUUGUUUUACAGUUAAAGUUGGCGAGUAUCACAUUUAAAAUUAUGUAGUCUUACAUUUUUAGUUGUUAAUUCUCUCAUUUAAAGUUGUAAAGUUUCACAAUUAAAGUUGGUUUAGUCAAAACUAUUAAGGGGGAAAGGAUGUGGUGGACAAGAAUAACCUGAAUACGCAGAAGGAGAGCACCAGCAUUGGUAUCGAGUUGGCCCAGCAACAGUACCAGUCCAGCAUGCAGGAGAUCCAGUCAAGGACGACCCUUCCCCUCCCCUGACCCCUAACUCCUCACUUUUGACCUGCAGCCUCAAAGGAUCAGCAUCGCUGAACAAUUCUCUUCUCCAGGAAAUUCUCAGCUCUUCAAGUUUUCACAGGCUGUUCUCAACAACCGCAAUGUCCUGGUCCAGUUUUCCUUACUCAAGCCUGAGUGAGCCCUAGUUUUGUUAAAUAUAAGUAGUAGAAAUGGUAACACUAACAGCCAGUGUUCUUGCUGUUGGACAUCACAAAGAAUAUCACAGAAUAAAAAGUUGAAUAACUUGUUCUAUUCGUUAUGGGAUCAACAGAAAUUCAGCAAGAAAUAGGGCAAAAAAUCAAGGAACAAUUGAAGCGAUUAAUUUAGAAGUGUAGGCUUUCCAAAGUAGAUACUUCUGCUGUUGAUAGUUUUGACAGUUAUAGCGUUACGGACGCCUCGGUUUGUCCUCUCAGGCGUGUAAACUGUCCAAAGAGAAAAAGCUUCUGACACUUUUGCUGACGAAGAAAGGCAGUAAUGACUUGGCUGUGAACACCCAGAGGACAAUACAUCCUUGGGGCAUGCCUCAGACGCAAAUUCCGCUCAAGAUUAUAAACAAGGUGCAAAAUGUGAAUAUGUCUAGCUGUGUUACGAGCACUUCCCACUCCGAGCCCAUAGGCCUCGUAUUGAAUCGAGGCUAGAGAAGGCAGUUGUGUUGUGUGGUCCAGUAUGCCCUUCUACUCUCAACCCGACGUUAAUCAGAACCCAAACUCAGCCCUUAGCAAUAUCAGCUCAGCUCCUUGAGCCUCAGGACUUGAUGCAAACCUUGAUUGGUACCCAGCUUAACAACAGGCUCUCUGGUCAGCUGGUCCCAGACGCCCAGAGACACUUCCUGUGCAUAGGGGGUAGUUGGCUCUUGGCGCAGGACCUCGGGGCAAAUGCUCAACAAAUCCUUAGCGCAGGGUGCAGCCAGUCUAAACCUGGGGUUUCAAACUUUCCUGCCUAAGGGCCGAGAUUAUCUCAUCCACAAGGCACACAUUUCCGGGAGGCGCUAAGACCAUUUUAUCUGUUCACAGAGUCUUAUACUCACAAGUUCAGGCCCAGAGAGAAAUAUCCCCAACUACAACUUUGCCCCUACAUCACAAUAGGAGAGCACCAGCAUUGAUAUUGUGUUGGCCCAACAACAGCACCAGUCUGGCAUGCAUGAGCCCCAGUCCAGGACAACCCUUCCCCUACCCUGAUCCAUAUCUUCUCCCCCAAGACCUUCAGCCUCAAAUUCUGAACACAUCCAGUUUUCUUGCACUGUUCUCAUCAACCGCAAUGUCCACGUCAAGUUAUCCACUGUCGAGCCUGAGUAGUUUUGUUUAGCUUGAGUGUCCGAGUGGGAAGAGUGUUAUAGACACAAGGAGUUAUAUCAGUAGUUAUGGUAAUGCUCAAUCAACAGUCAGUUCUUGCUGUUGGACAUCACUGCGAAUAUCACGAGGAAUAAGAAGUUGAAUAACUUGUUCCAUUCAUUAUGGGACAAACACAAAUUUAGCGAGGAACAGGGCAAAAAAUCAAGGGACAAUUGAAGUGAUUAAUGCAGAAGUGUAGGCUUUCCAAAGUAGAUACUUGUGCUGUUGAUAGCUAGGACAGUAGUAGCGUUACGGACCGUCUUGGUUUGUCCUCUCAGGCAUCUAAAGGGAACAUGAAGCUUUUGACGCUGUUGCUGAUGAAGAAAGGCAGUAAUGACUUGGCUGUGAACACCCAGAGCACAAUACAUCAAUGGGGCAUGCCUUGGACGCAAAUUGCGCCCAAUAUUGUAAACAAGGUGCAAAAUGUGAACAUGUCUAGCUUUGUUACCAGCACUUGGCACUCCGAGCCUAAAGGGUCUAGUAUUGAAUCGAGGAUAGAGAUGGCUUUGAAAAAUGACAGCAGUUGUGUUCUGUGGUCCAGUACACACAUCGCCUCUCAAUCGAGUUAGUCAGAACUCAAACUCUGGCCUUAUUAAUAUCAGCAAGUCGCUGCUGAGUCAGGACAAGGAUGCUGAGGAUGUGGUGGACAAGGAUGACCUGAAUACACAGAAGCUACUGCUCAGCAAAGAAUACAACUGUCUGGUGAAAGGCUCGACCGUAUCAAAGUCCAGUGAUGUCGGGGUAUGUGGCCGUUCCAUGUCUGGGGAUUGCAUUUUAGCUGACACUAACAAGGGAGAGAACUGAAGAUCUGCACCUGCAAAGAGCACCAGCCUUGAUAUAGAGUUGGUACGGCAACGACACAAGUCGGGCCCGCUGGAGCCCCAGUCCAGCACGACCCCUCCCCUGACCCCUAGCUCCACCCAUUUUACCUCCGGCAUCAAAGAGUCAGCAUUGUUAAACAAUUUCAUCCCAUAGCAAUUUCUGAGCACAUAGAGUGUUUGCACAUUUUUCUCAACAACCGCAAUGUCCGUGUUGAGUCUGCACUUGAGCCCUGAUUGGUUUGAUAGACUCAAGUGCCGGAGGUGGUAGAAGUGUAACAGACAUAAGAAGUUAUUGCAACAGUUGUUGUAACACUUACAGUCAGCUCUCGCUGUUGGACAUUACAAUGAAUAUUACGAAAAAUACAAAGCUGGAUAACUCAUUGCAUUCUUUUUGGGACAAACAGAACUGCAGCAAGGAACAGGAGAAAAUCACGGAAUGUUUAAAGAGUUUAAGUCAGAAGGGUAAGCUUUCCAUCGGGGAUACUCCUGGAUGGUCUUAACUUAAGGGACAGUCCAGGUUUGUCCUCUCAGUAGUCCAAACUGUACAAAGAGAAUUCAUUUAUUUUUGACGCAGUUGCGAACAAAGAAAGGCAGUACCGACUUCGUUGUGAACAGUCAAGCAUGGUACAUCUCUGCGGAAUGCCUCAGGCGGGAAUUCCAUCUGCAACAAGGUGCUAAAGGUGAACCCAUCAGGGUGUGUUACUAACCACUUCAAGACCAAACAGCCUCUAAUUGAUUCGACGAUAAACAAGGCGUUGAAAAAUGACAGCAGUUUUGAUGUGUCAUCCAGUUCGCUCUUUGACUCUCAACCCAACGUUAGUUAGGACGCAAACUCGGCAUUUAGCGUUAUCAGCGAGGCUCGAAGGUCAUCUCUGCUUCUUGAG